rnacentral:lncRNA from 1 species
AUAUAUAUUAGAUAAUUAUUUUAAAUUUCAUCACAAUUUAUUGUGUUUAGAAAGACCAGAGGAUAUGAAAGGAUAGACCCAGUUUGCACACUCUACCAAAACCCUGGAAUUUCCAAUGUAAUAUCUGGGAAAAUCAGCCUUCUAGGGCUCAUUGACCCAGAGAAAGUACAACUCAUGAGAGACUAGGUUGUUCUUUAGGGGAGGUGUAUCAUGUCUGAGACCAUUUUGGCCAGUCACACUUAAGACAUGUCCCUAGUACCUUUGGUAGAAGUCAGAGAUCAUACUGAAUAUCAUAAAUCACACAUGUAGCUUUCCCCAAACAAUUAUUUGGCCCCAAAUGUUAAUUGUAAAGUAUAUUGACAAAUUGACACAUGCUGUUUAUACUUACCAAAACUGGAUGCUGGAAGUGAGGAAAAACCCAUUAUCCCAGACUUGAACACACUUAUUUUAAUUGUUCUAGGCCAGGCUGGGCCCCAGCAACAGGGAUUAAGGACAAUGAAUAUUUAUUAGAAGUGUUAUGCCUCAAGAACAAUCAGAAGGUAAACCUGCUUCAAGGGAAAUUGUCAUUGUCUAUCCCAUAAUUUGAAGCAUGUCUGCCAUGAGAACAAGGAGCCAGAUGCUCAGUCAGCACAGAGCUGUCUCAAUUGGGGACUUAAAUAGUGUGUUCAAGGUCUUUCCUAGCCAUCCGCCAUGGUGGAUGAAUGAAAGGCCCGAGCUAACAUGGGGUUAGCUCAUUAAACAACUACAAUAAAGCCUCUUGCUGUUUGCAUCAAGCUUUCAACUCUGCCCAGUGAUUGGGGCAGUCGUGGUCCUGGAUCAAGAUCCUGGGGACCUGAGCCUCAGGGGGGUCAUUCUUUUGGGGGCUCAUCCGGGAUUUGCAACAACCCCUCACUUGAGUGGAGUCGAUCUUGGAGGUAAGCGGCUACCCUGUAUUGUCUUGUCUACUGUCUGUCGGUUCUGUCUAUUCUGUUUCUGUAAAAGCGCUUUCAGUUCGGAGGUAAGCGGCUACCCUGUAUUGUCUUGUCUACUGUCUGUCGGUUCUGUCUAUUCUGUUUCUGUAAAAGCGCUUUCAGUUCCGUUUUCAGUUUGCAGUUGUCCUGGCGGUCAUGAGACCUGCCUCGACUGUGAUCAGCAGACAUGCCCGGAGGAUCACAGACUGCUGCCCUGGGGACGCCCAGGAGGUACAGAGCCCCCAAGGCCACUUGGACGCUCCUCAGAUAGCGGCAAUUGUAGCCACCUGGUUCUGCCGCAGGUCCACCUGGUGCCAUUGCCUUAUAAGCCGUGCGGAUGGAUUGGGUUGGCGUGUGUUCUUUUCUGUCUAUUCUGUCUCUGUGUCUUUUUAUCGUGGGUUUUCAAUUCAGGAUCCACCAUGACACCCCCUUUCGUUGAGUCACGUGGCGCCACACUAGGUAACUUUCUUUUUUCUGUUUUUGUUUCUGUAUGGUUUCUGUGAAGACUGGAGGAUCAGAACAGGCUGUGUGACUGGCUAGUUAAGCGGGUUUGUUAUCCACACCCUGCCCGCCUGCUUUUCGGUGCUGUGUCAGUUUUGUGUUUUCAUUUCUGCUGUUUUUGUUGAUUGUGUAAAUGUAAAGGUCCUAAGUUGGGUUCACUAUCGAACCAUCAGAAAUUCUGAAUAGCACCCUAGUCUAGUCUGUGCUGUGUGUUUAUUAAGCCUGUCUUUGUCUUUUGUCCUGACUCUGGAGGUCUAUCAGAACAGCUGCUGCUCUCUGGACUCCAGCGGCGACUCUCUUUGUCCUUACCUCCCACGCACAUGGCAUGCAUAGGUCAGGGUCUUUUCUUGCUGCCCUGAGCACUUGGCGUGCAGGACAGGAGUUCCUCUGCCAUGUACCAUGGGUUAGAGUGUGCUACGGCAGAGUCUCCUGUCUCUGACCACAUGGUAAGGUUGCUGCUCUGGACUCCAACCUCUGCUGAGGCCCUCACAGCUGAGCCUGGCCAGUGCAGGUGAGUUUAUCUCUCCAUCUUCACCUGCCCGUCUGUGAGGCAUGCAAAGUGAGGGUCUCUCUGCCCCAACUGCCAUCCUGCUAUGGGUCCUGGCAUGCAGCUGGAGUUUCCUUGCCCUGAGCUUGUGGCUUGCAAGGCCACCAUUUGCCUGGCCUUCUCCAUGCUCCACACUCAUGGCAUGCUGAAUGUUGGGGCAGGGAAGCUGCUGGUGUCUCUUUCCUGCCCCCACAUGGGCAGAGCAUCUGGGCUUACCAGCAGCCCACCCCCAAGUCUCUGCCCUGAGCACACAGUGCAGGGCCGGUGAGCCAAAACAGAAUGGCCUUGAAGUUAUUAAAAACUACAAGAAGGACUUUGGUAAGAGUUUUUAUGUUGACUGAGAAAUGAGAAAAAUGUAAGAGACUAAAAUAAAGAGGGAAAGGAAAGGAGAAAUUUGUCUAAGAAUGUCUAAAGAAAUAAGAGGAAUGAACUGAAGGUAUAUAGAAAGUUUAGAGGGUCAAAGUAAUUAGUAGAAGGUCAGAGGAAAGUUGUCAAAGGUCAGAGGAAAGGUUGUUAAAAGUCAGAGAAAAAAUGUAAAUUAUUUGCUAUGGUUUCUCCUGUCUACAAAUAGUAAAUUUUAAAAAUUGGUAAUAUAAGCUAAAAUUUUGACCAUAUUAGGUUAAUUCUGGUUUAAAAGUUCUGUUUAUUUCUCAAGUAAAUUAUUUAUGCUUGUUUUAAAAAGUUCUGUUUCCUGGCAUAACCUAAGUUCUGUUACAAGCAUACAGCUAAAACAAAUGCUGCAGGUUACCACCAUUUUGUAGUCAGCCACAUGGCAAGCUGGUCACAUGGCUGACUGGUAGCCAUUUUGCUGAAGUUGAAAAAGAUACUUGAACGGCCAUCUUGACUAAAGGUAACCAUAUGGAAAUUAGGAGGUACCAUAUUAUAAACAAGUUUUUCAGUUAAGAUUUAAAAUGUUAAUGCUUCUAUAUAUUACAGAAAGACAUUAAGGGAGUUUAAAUUUCUUUUUAAAAACAGUUUUUUGAAUGCUUAUGUUUUUUAAAAAUGUUUUUAUUAAUGUUAGUACUUAAAGAGCUUCAAUUUAGAAUCAUUUUUAAGCAAAGCCUGACAAUGUAAAGUUCUUUUAUAAAAGCUGCUAAUCUAUUAUAAGAUGUUACAGUUUAUGUUUUCAGAAGUUAAGCUUAAGCAAGCAGCUAAAAUGUGUACAUGUAGCUACUGUUUAAGGAAUAUAAGGUAACUCUAUGCAGUUUUAAAUUCAACUGUGCUAAGUUUCAAAUAUGUUACUAAGUUAAAACCGGUUACAGUCAGACUGAAAAUUAAUUAAUUACAUAAAUAAGGCCUUACCUAGCCACUUAUGUGAUUAAUGUGUGCUUAAGGCAAGUAACUAAAAAAGACAGACCUCUAAUGCUUCAGUGACCUGAAGAAUAUGACAUUUAAAAUUUGUUUUAAAAGUUUAUAAUAUCAGACAGACUGCCAGAUCCUGACAGUGACCCAAAGUCUCCAAAGAAGAUUAUGAGGCACCCCAGUUCCUGCACCUGUAUGAUGACGACACUGACCAGUGAGGGAGAUGCUCAGAUGUGACACCUGCUGCCUGCCAGGACCUGGCCAAGACUGUGGACAAAGCUGCUGGACACUGGAAAAUUGAUUGCACCCCCUUUGCCUAGAUAAAACAAGGUUUCUGCUUCUGGCAGACACAUCUGAGUAUCAGUUGCUGACUACAGGCUGUUCCUAAGUAGACUGCGAGCCCUGGACUUGCUGUGGAUGUGAACCAGUCCAGCUGAUGCAGAUACCCCCUGUCUCUGCAACACAGUCUGCAACCAGAAGCUCCUGAUGGAUUCCCCAUUGCCUAAAUUCCCUUUUUUGCUUUUGACUAGCAUUUCAGCAUUCUUGGGUCCCUAACUUUGUCCCGAAGUCAGCAGGAAGUAGCGUGGCAAAGAAUAUGUCGCCCAUUUGCCCUGGUUGAAAUGCUAAGUCAAAAGGAACUCCCUUUUGACUUAGCAUAGGGGAUGCCAAUACCUCUCACUCCCUGAUGGGGACACUGGAGAGACAGCAAUUCCAUGAUUGGAAUCUCCAAAAAACAAAAUGGGGGAAUAAAGGGGCCAGCUCCCCAUUUCAGCAGCCAUAACAGCCUAGCACAUGCUUUCCUGACCUUGCCUUGGUCACUAGAAGGUCAGAUUCCUGCCUCGUGGCAAGGAACCAAUCAGAAGGUAGCUGGUGGUGCUAUGCUUUAUGGCUCUGAGUGUGCUUUACGGACAAGUGCACAGCAAUAACAUACAGAGCAUAGCAAUUGGUUAUAACCACCAGUUGACCAAUCAACACAGGGCAGGCCCUCUAAGCCUGGAGGCACACCAAUCCUGAGCCUGUGCAUAUCCCUAGACACUCCCCUUAUGCUGCCCUAUAAGAUCUCUAUGCUGUAGCUUUGAAGCAUCUUUCCUAGGCAUCCGCCAUGGUGGACGAAUGAAAGGCCUGAGCUAACAUGGGGUUAGCUCGUUGAACAACUACAAUAAAGCCUCUUGCUGUUUGCAUAAAAAAAAAAGAGUGUGUUCUAGUGGAGCUCUCCACUUGUUCUGUCUGUUGUAAGCCCCUGGAUUUAUGAUGUUAUCUAUCUGCUAUUAAUAAUUUAUUCUUGUGCUUUGCUUGCUAC